AUUGAACGCUGGCGGCAGGCCUAACACAUGCAAGUCGAGCGGAUGAAGGGAGCUUGCUCCUGGAUUCAGCGGCGGACGGUUGAGUAAUGCCUAGGAAUCUGCCUGGUAGUGGGGGAUAACGUCCGGAAACGGGCGCUAAUACCGCAUACGUCCUGAGGGAGAAAGUGGGGGAUCUUCGGACCUCACGCUAUCAGAUGAGCCUAGGUCGGAUUAGCUAGUUGGUGGGGUAAAGGCCUACCAAGGCGACGAUCCGUAACUGGUCUGAGAGGAUGAUCAGUCACACUGGAACUGAGACACGGUCCAGACUCCUACGGGAGGCAGCGGUGGGGAAUAUUGGACAAUGGGCGAAAGCCUGAUCCAGCCAUGCCGCGUGUGUGAAGAAGGUCUUCGGAUUGUAAAGCACUUUAAGUUGGGAGGAAGGGCAGUAAGUUAAUACCUUGCUGUUUUGACGUUACCAACAGAAUAAGCACCGGCUAACUUCGUG
rnacentral:rRNA from 1 species